UAACAAUUCUUGAGUUCCCUUCCGUCCCUAAAAUCUUUUGAGUUUCCCGCAUCCUUAAAUUCUAAGAUUGAGAAAUUUCUUCCCUCAUCCUGGUUUCCAAAUUACAGCCGGAACUCCACCAUGCCGGAACUUCUUCGCUGCCGGAAUCGACCACCACGAAUGGCGUGAACAUACUCCACUGCCCUUUUCUACCAACUCGUCCUGAUCCCGAUUUCUAUGAUCUCCUUUUACCCGAUUUGAACUCCAUUGCGGUUGUUGGAAUCGACGAUCGCUAUCCCCACCGUUGUUGGCGUAGGUGGCUGAGAAACCGGCAGAAAUCCUCAUGCGUGUUGUGCUCGAAACCGAGAUAGAAGAUUAGAAGCAGCGGGAAUAGAUACAUAAGCAGUGACUAUGGCUGCGGGAUGAGUGGUCAGCGGCGACCUGGUAACCGGCGGUGGUUCUAUGCAGCGGAAGUGGUGGUCGUACCAUCAUAGUCACCUUCAAAGUAACUAGGAUUGGAUUGAGUCUUCUUGGGUUUUGAAAAAUCGGUUGAUUGAUGGCUAUAGUUGCUUUACAGAGAGAUUGUGUUGAUCUUGUUGCUGUUAACGAUCAGCUCAUCUUUGUGGAGUACAUGGUUUGGAACUUUGAUAAUUUGAUUGUAUCUAGAGUAGAUCUGGAUUUUGAAGGACAAACUACUUCUGAUGCUAGAUGCUGACAGAUGGCAUGGAGAAGCUUGAAAGCAGGGUGGUGUCCAUAUGUUUUAUGUUAAAUGAGAUCUGGAAUCCAGAUCCAUAUGUACACUAUAAUGGGAAAAUCUGAAAGUAGAACCUGUAUUAGAAGGAAGUUACACUUUCUAUUUGUUUUACCAUCUUUGUGUAUAGUUGAGUAAACUUUUUAUUGUGGAGUA